rnacentral:rRNA from 1 species
ACGAACGCUGGCGGCGUGCCUAACACAUGCAAGUCGAACGAAGCUCUGCGAUACAAGACUUCGGUCAAGUUGAACGGAUGACUUAGUGGCGGACGGGUGAGUAACGCGUGAGGAACCUGCCUUUCAGUGGGGGACAACAGUUGGAAACGACUGCUAAUACCGCAUAAUGUAUUCUGACCGCAUGAUCGGAAUACCAAAGAUUUAUUGCUGAAAGAUGGCCUCGCGUCUGAUUAGAUAGUUGGUGAGGUAACGGCUCACCAAGUCGACGAUCAGUAGCCGGACUGAGAGGUUGAACGGCCACAUUGGGACUGAGAUACGGCCCAGACUCCUACGGGAGGCAGCAGUGGGGAAUAUUGGGCAAUGGGGGAAACCCUGACCCAGCAACGCCGCGUGAAGGAAGAAGGCUUUCGGGUUGUAAACUUCUUUUACCAGGGACGAAGGACGUGACGGUACCUGGAGAAAAAGCCACGGCUAACUACGUGCCAGCAGCCGCGGUAAUACGUAGGUGGCAAGCGUUGUCCGGAUUUACUGGGUGUAAAGGGCGUGUAGGCGGAGAAGCAAGUCAGAAGUGAAAUCCAUGGGCUUAACCCAUGAACUGCUUUUGAAACUGUUUCCCUUGAGUAUCGGAGAGGCAGGCGGAAUUCCUAGUGUAGCGGUGAAAUGCGUAGAUAUUAGGAGGAACACCAGUGGCGAAGGCGGCCUGCUGGACGACAACUGACGCUGAGGCGCGAAAGCGUGGGGAGCAAACAGGAUUAGAUACCCUGGUAGUCCACACAGUAAACGAUGAAUACUCGCUGUUUGCGAUAUACAGCAAGCGGCCAAGCGAAAGCGUUAAGUAUUCCACCUGGGGAGUACGCCGGCAACGGUGAAACUCAAAGGAAUUGACGGGGGCCCGCACAAGCAGUGGAUUAUGUGGUUUAAUUCGACGCAACGCGAAGAACCUUACCGGGAUUUGACAUCCUACUAACGAGGCAGAGAUGCAUUAGGUGCCCUUCGGGGAAAGUAGAGACAGGUGGUGCAUGGUUGUCGUCAGCUCGUGUCGUGAGAUGUUGGGUUAAGUCCCGCAACGAGCGCAACCCCUAUUGUUAGUUGCUACGCAAGAGCACUCUAGCGAGACUGCCGUUGACAAAACGGAGGAAGGCGGGGACGACGUCAAAUCAUCAUGCCCCUUAUGUCCCGGGCUACACACGUAAUACAAUGGCGGUCAACAGAGGGAAGCAAAACCGCGAGGCAGAGCAAACCCCUAAAAGCCGUCUCAGUUCGGAUUGCAGGCUGCAACUCGCCUGCAUGAAGUUGGAAUUGCUAGUAAUCGUGGAUCAGCAUGCCACGGUGAAUACGUUCCCGGGCCUUGUACACACCGCCCGUCACACCAUGAGAGUUGGGAACACCCGAAGUCCGUAGUCUAACCGCAAGGAGGGCGCGGCCGAAGGUGGGCCUGAUAAUUGGGGUG